CACGUAGGGGGCAAGCGUUGUCCGGAUUCAUUGGGCGUAAAGAGCUCGUAGGCGGCUGUUCAAGUCGAACGUGAAAACUCGGAGCUCAACUCCGAGCCUGCGUUCGAGACUGGAUGGCUAGAGUCUGGUAGGGGGAUCUGGAAUUCCUGGUGUAGCGGUGGAAUGCGCAGAUAUCAGGAGGAACACCGGUGGCGAAGGCGGGAUCCUGGGCCAGUACUGACGCUGAGGAGCGAAAGCUAGGGGAGCAAACGGG
rnacentral:rRNA from 1 species